CCCUUAGAUGUUAUGGGCUGCACGCGCGCUACACUGACGCACGCAACAGGUGCCUGCUCCGAGAGGACUGGGUAAUCAUUUGAGUGUGCGUCGUGAUGGGGAUAGAAUAUUGUAAUUAUUACUCUUCAACGAGGAAUUCCUAGUAAGCGCCAGUCAGCAGCUUGCGCUGAUUACGUCCCUGCCCUUUGUACACACCGCCCGUCGCUCCUACCGAUGGGUGAUCCGGUGAAUGAUUCGGACUUCAGCGGCUCCCCUGGGGUGCGCCGGAGAAAGUUUUGUGAACCUUAUCACUUGGAGGAAGGAGAAGUCGUAACA
rnacentral:rRNA from 1 species